GAAGAUAUAUUUUUAUAUUUUUACAACUUUAAGAGGCGUUGUAUAUGUCCUUUCAUCAAUCAAGAAAAUCCACUCAGACAAUUAAUUAGAUCAUCUUCUCACAAUCAGCUCCCACUCCAAACUCUUGUUAACAUGACUAAAAUGUGCCUAUCUCACAAGAUCUCUUUCUUGUUUUGUUUUCUCUGGUACUAACAGGUCAGUAACUUCAUCAUUUUUUAGUCCUUGUAAAUUAGGAUAAAUAUUUAUUUAUACUGUCGACAAUAUAUAACUUAAACUCUUGUUAUAAUGCAGUUCAUUCUUUUUCGUCCCCAAACACUCCAGCAAUGGCUUUGCCAGACAUACCUUUUGAAGUAGAGUUUAUUGAAAAGAUUCUGCUACCAAAUAGUCUUACAUAUACUCAACGUUGNCUGGGACCGUUGUGAAAUUAAUUUUGAUUGCAGAAAAUUGCCAGGUUGUGGGUAUUGUCGACGGCAGAGUUCUAAAUCGCCGUUUAAGAGAUGCUUGACUCCACGUUGACCGAUUUGAAUCUCAUAUAUUAUAAAAGUUUUUAAUUUUAUUGCAUUUUUACUCUAAUUACCAGCUCCUUCUCCUUCUGACCUUUGUAUCACUUGUAAGAUUUAUAAUAUUAGUGACUACAGUCAAACCUCUCUAUAAUAGACUCGUUUGUUCCGGAUAUUUUUGAUUGUUAUAGCGAAUUUCUGUUAUAAAAAAUAUAUAUUAUAAUAGAAUAUAAAGUUUGGUUCCGG
rnacentral:lncRNA from 1 species